CUCAGAGCUCUGCGAGGAUGAGUGUCCUCUACAGCUCACAGCCCACAGGCUUCAUUAUUGCAUCGCCCAUAAUUCAAUUCACCCUUCCUAAAAGGUCUCUUGCUGCCAACCCAACCCCCACCUCUGAAAACACGUCCCACUAAUAAUUCCCGAUUAAUGCCGUCAAUUACCAACUCUCUCCCAGCCCCUCUCCAGCCCCUGAUUGGGUUGGAAUGGAAGGGAAGCAGCAUCUAACCAGGGAGGAAUAGAAGUAGGGUAAAAUAGCAAUAAAAAGUAAUUACAUAAAAAUGCUAAACAUAUUACAUCUGUUAGUUUGCUGAGCCCAGUGGGCUUGACAAUUCCAGAUUUUUGCCUUUGUCCGUGCUCAGACAGACAAGAAUAAGAGAAACCGGGAAAGGAUCUUUCAAUAAGAUUAUUAAAUCAGUGCAUGAAAAAUAAGUCGUCAUUACAUUGCAAAAGGGAGAGAGAAACUCACUGAAAUGUCUUUCUGCAGCUUUGCCUUUGUGAUCUGCAAGGUGCUGUGCUCCUGCUUACACUCUGUUGCCCUGGCAACAUACUCCUGUAAAAUAAAGAUUAUUAAAGCGCAUAUGAUUAUUUGGCCGCACAGUGAAUGAGGCAGCCGCUUCUGAAAUUCCUUAUCAGAGAAAUUCAAUUUUAGGCCAAAUUGUGUUUUCACUGCCUCUCAGCUUCUCCCUCCCCCCCUGCAAUACCAAUAAAACCAUCAUCUCCCCAGCUGUACAUGAUAUUUUGUCACUAACUCUUUCACGCCUUUCCUUUCCCAUUCCAGGUUUUAUUUUUACUCUGUCAAAGGAGAAUGCUCUCCCCAAUUUGUAGGCUUUUAUACCUUACAGUUUUUUUCUGGCAGCUUCAGCCUUUUCUCCCCUGCAGCAGCCAGCAGCCUCCUCGCCCACUGUGGCAGCAGGAGGGGACUUUCCCCUCCAGCCCAGACCAGGGGCCAGGGCCAGAACCCAGCUUUGGAAGGUGAGGGAUGAGCACAGAGGGCUCACAACACACAGCUACCCUUCACACUUUGCGGAGCCUCAUCUGCUGUAGGUCUUCUAUGGCCUCUCCUCGCAGUUCAUCUCUGGGGAGCUGCUGCCCAGCCCACGGAGACCCCGGCCAAGUGUUUAAGAUGGAACAGAGAGGAGGCACAAUUACCCCAGAUUCAGAAGAUCUUAGUUCAAACCCUGACCUACUGAAGCUUCCCAUACCUCGGCUUCUCCUCCCUAUCUUAAAACCAGGCAGAAUUAGAAAUCUGGUAAUCUUCCUGAAGAGCCUCACAUACUGAGCACUACUAAAUAUUUGGCAAGAUAAAUGACAGAGCUGCUCUAAAGGAAGCAUGUAAUCUAGAAAUAAAAGAGAUAUAUCUGUUGUCUCUUUUGUCA
rnacentral:lncRNA from 1 species